UACGUAGGUGGCGAGCGUUGUCCGGAUUUACUGGGCGUAAAGGGAGCGUAGGCGGACUUUUAAGUGGGAUGUGAAAUACCCGGGCUUAACUUGGGUGCUGCAUUUCAAACUGGAAGUCUAGAGUGCAGGAGAGGAGAAUGGAAUUCCUAGUGUAGCGGUGAAAUGCGUAGAGAUUAGGAAGAACACCAGUGGCGAAGGCGAUUCUCUGGACUGUAACUGACGCUGAGGCUCGAAAGCGUGGGGAGCAAACAGGAUUAGAUACCCUGGUAGU
rnacentral:rRNA from 1 species